UUAGGGCGGUUUAUGUAAAUAUUCGGGUUUCCUGCAAAUUGCGUCUGCCUCCGCUGCGGCUCGCUGCCCCGCCGCCUUCGCCAUGUCCUCCGCCGCCGCCCGAGCCCUCAAGUCCGCCUCCCGCGAUGCCUUCUCCUGGAAGCCGGUGAUUAAAGUCAUCGACUUCUAGUAUUUGAAAAUCUUUAUCUGAAACCAUACAGACUAUCCCCCUUCUGCCAGACGGGGCAGCCGCAGAGAACGCUGGUGGCGGCCGUGAGGUCUGGCGUGGGGGCUCCACUCGGGAGCGCGCGGCCGCGCUAAUCCCGACGCACGCCGGCGAGGGCGCGAGGCUAGGUUGUCGGCAGAGGUGGGGAACGCCGAGCCACGGUCGCAGCUCUGCACGACGCUUCGGCGGGGGCCCGCGGGUCCGCACGGUGGAGCACCUUCUCUCUGCGAUGGAGGCGCUCGACGCGACGACGUCGACAAUAGCCGCGUUGAGGUCCGCGGCAGUGACGAGCACAAGAGUGGGUAGUUGGCAAUACGAAGCGCAGGUUUGUGUGCGACCGAGGAUACCAGUGGGCAAAUCUUGGAGAAACUGGCCCCCCAAAUUCGUGAACCUGUUUACUUGCAGAGAGAUGAUUGCUUCGCAGCUGCAUUCCCUGGCUCGCAAAUCCACAGUUCCACAUCACAUAUGCAAUUGAUUUCCUGAAGGUGCCAGCGAUUGAGAGUUAAUGGUUUUCUACAUUCCUUGAUGCUAAUAAAUACUCAAGCGAGAUUGCUCGUGCAUGAACUUUCUUGAUAUUUGAAGAGGUUUUCUUAAACAUCUAGUUUUUCAUCGUUUCUGUCCAUAGUAACCUAUUUUGGAAAUUGUUUGGAUCUGCAUUUACAUGUAUAAAUUCCUUGAUAAGACCUCUUUUAAUAACGUAUCACCAAGUUACUUUCCUAGCACAUGGUUUAAUGCUAAUGUACUUUGUCAUGAUCUUGUGAUAUAUCAAUACCAUGCAUGUUUUUUCUUGGAACAUUGCAGAACUGCAUAUCUUUCUCGCAAAUUUUCUGGCCAUGUUGCACUUGGCUCCCCCCCCCCCCC